rnacentral:misc_RNA from 1 species
GAUGAAGAACGCAGCGAAAUGCGAUAAGUAAUGUGAAUUGCAGAAUUCCGUGAAUCAUCGAAUCUUUGAACGCACAUUGCGCCCCCUGGUAUUCCGGAGGGCAUGCCUGUCCGAGCGUCAUUGCAACCUUCAAGCGCGGCUUGUGUGUUGGGUCUCGUCCCCCGUGGACGGGCCCGAAAGGCAGUGGCGGCGUCCCGACAUGGUGCCCGAGCGUAUGGGAAUCCUCUUCCGCUCGAAUCGGCCCAUGCGGCGCUGGUCGUAACCAAAUUUUUUACCGGUUGACCUCGGAUCAGGUAGGGAUACCCGCUGAACUUAAGCAUAUCAAUAAGAGGAGGA